CCAUAAUCAGGAUUCCACUAAACCACUACAGUAGAAAAAACCCAAAUAUAAUAACUAAACUCAAUAUUGUUAGAAUAUUGUGUACGGUAAAAACGUAGCGGAAAAAGAAAUCAAACAAAUUUAAUUUUGAAAACUCUCGAGAUCCAAUCUCAAAAACCACGCAAUUAGAAUCCCUCAUGUUUUUAAGAUUAAAGGAGAAAAGAAAGAUCGAAUCUUUACCUUUUGCAUGGAUAAAUCUUCACCUCAUUUUGAUGAUCGUAGAAUUGAGUUCUUUUGAAGCCGCACACGCGUCCGGCCUCUAUAGGUAUCCACACGAGAUUUAUAAUUUGAUCGAUGUCCUCACCGGGGUGCUAGCUCCCUUACAAAGAACGUCGUUCUUGCUAGAAUAUAGAAGAAAGAGAAGAAGAGAUGACGGUUAGAGUUUUCUCAAAACUCCGUAUAUUAUAUAGAGGAAUAUAAUCCUCUUUCUAAUAAUAUAAUAAUAAUUAAGGAUAAGUACAAAUCUAGAUUUAAAUUUAUCAUUUUCUUAAUUAGUUAGAUCGAUCAAAUCCUAUUUGAUUCGACUUGAACUUUAUCUUAAUUUAAUCAUAUCAAAUUAAUAAUGCAACAUUUGCACAUAAGUCCUCUUAUAAUUUACUAAUUAUUAGUAAGUCCUCUCUUGUAACAUUUAUACCUUAAUAUCACUAAUUUGUAAUAAUUACAAAUUAGUCCAAUUAUCAACAUAUUGACAAUUAGGUCCUCCAGCGAUUCAUUAAUCGCAAUCUAGUUAUCCGAUCAAUCACAACCUCUUAUGUGUGUAACCCCAUAGGUUCUAUUCUAUCACAUAGGACUAACACCCCUAUCUACCAAGGGAGAUAGAUUUCAUUUAAGUGCACACCCUAUUCCUACAAUGAACCUACUACAGCCAACAUGCACCGCAAGGACUCUGUUUGAAGUAAAAGAAAAAAUUUGGGGCCAAUAAUAAUUUAAGUCUACAAUGGGCCCAUUUAUGAAUGCGAGUUGGUGGGCCUUAUGAAGACCCGUUAAAAUUUUAAGCCUAUACAAUAAUUCGGGCCUCAUUUCAGCCCAUUGAAUAUUAUUAUUUGUGCCCAACAAAUUUUAUUAAAGUGAGCCCAAUCAAUGACGGCCCAUAUCCACAGUCUAAAAUUAAAUAUCCAAUUAGAAAAUAUCUGUUCGAAAUUCAAUUUCAAAUCACAAUUGAUUCAAAAUUCAAUUUCAAAUUUCGAAUCCCCAGCCAACUCUCAAAAAUCUCCCAACCAACCACAUCCAUUAGAAUUUUGAAUACCUAUCCAUCCAACAACUGAUUCAAAAUUCGAUUUCGAAUUUCGAAUCCCCAACCAACCCCCAAGAUAUCUUCCAACCAACCAUAACAACCGAUUUCGAAUUUCGAAUCCCCAACCAACUCCCAAAAUAUCUUCCAACCAACCACAUUCAUUCGAAUUUUGAAUACCUAUCCAUCCACCAACCGAUUCAAAAUUUGAUUUCGAAUUUCGAAUCCCUAAACCGACUCCUCAAAAUAUUUCUCGUCGCCCAUUCUACUAUAAAUAUGAGAAUAAAAAUCAAUAUGGGGGACGAUACACACAGAGGAGAGAACAAAUAAAUAGAGAAAGACGAUAGAGAUAGAGGGAAAGAUU
rnacentral:lncRNA from 1 species